rnacentral:rRNA from 1 species
CCUACGGGAGGCAGCAGUGAGGAAUAUUGGUCAAUGGGCGCUAGCCUGAACCAGCCAAGUAGCGUGAAGGAUGACUGCCCUAUGGGUUUUAAACUUCUUUUAUAUGGGAAUAAAGUGCAGUAUGUAUACUGCUUUGCAUGUACCUUAUGAAUAAGGAUCGGCUAACUCCGUUCCAGCAGCCGCGGUAAUACGGAGGAUCCGAGCGUUACCCGGAUUUAUUGGGUUUAAAGGGAGCGUAGGCGGGUUGUUAAGUCAGUUGUGAAAGUUUGCGGCUCAACCGUAACAUUGCAGUUGAUACUGGCAUCCUUGAGUGCAGUAGAGGUAGGCGGAAUUCGUGGUGUAGCGGUGAAAUGCUUAGAUAUCACGAAGAACUCCGAUUGCGAAGGCAGCCUGCUGGACUGUAACUGACGCUGAUGCUCGAAAGUGUGGGUAGCAAACAGGAUUAGAUACCCCAGUAGUC